CCUACGGGAGGCAGCAGUGGGGAAUUUUGGACAAUGGGCGCAAGCCCGAUCCAGCAAUGCCGCGUGAGUGAAGAAGGCCUUCGGGUUGUAAAGCUCUUUUGUCAGGGAAGAAACGGUGGAGGCUAAUAUCCUUUGCUAAUGACGGUACCUGAAGAAUAAGCACCGGCUAACUACGUGCCAGCAGCCGCGGUAAUACGUAGGGUGCAAGCGUUAAUCGGAAUUACUGGGCGUAAAGCGUGCGCAGGCGGUUUUGUAAGUUUGUCGUGAAAUCCCCGGGCUCAACCUGGGAAUGGCGAUGAAGACUGCAAGGCUAGAAUCUGGCAGAGGGGGGUAGAAUUCCACGUGUAGCAGUGAAAUGCGUAGAGAUGUGGAGGAACACCGAUGGCGAAGGCAGCCCCCUGGGUCAAGAUUAGACGCUCAUGCACGAAAGCGUGGGGAGCAAACAGGAUUAGAUACCCUGGUAGUCCACGCCCUAAACGAUGUCUACUAGUUGUCGGGUUUUAAUUAACUUGGUUAACGCAGCUAACGCGUGAAGUAGACCGCCUGGGGAUACGGUCGCAAGNUUAAAACCUUAAGGAAUUAGACGG
rnacentral:rRNA from 1 species